GACGAACGCUGGCGGCGUGCCUAAUACAUGCAAGUAGAACGCAGUUGCGAACGGGUGAGUAACGCGUAGGUAACUGCCCCUUGGCGGGGGAAAACAUUGGGACAGAUUGGCAAAUACGGCCUAUGUUGGGUGGAACCUGCGUUGGUUUGGCUAGUUGGUGGGGUAAAGCCUCACAAAGGCGAAGAUACAUAGCCGACCUGAGAGGGUGAUCGGCCAAACUGGGACUGAGACACGGCCCAGACGCCUACGGGAGGCAGCAGUAGGGAAUCUUCGGCAAUGGACGGAAGUCUGACCGAGCAACGCCGCGUGAGUGAAGAAGGUUUGCGGAUCGUAAAGCUCUGUUGUUAGAGAAGCGGUAACUAACCAGAAAGGGACGGCUAACUACGUGCCAGCAGCCGCGGUAAUAC
rnacentral:rRNA from 1 species